CCUACGGGAGGCAGCAGUGAGGAAUAUUGGUCAAUGGCCGGAAGGCUGAACCAGCCAAGCCGCGUGAAGGACGAAGGUGCCAAGCAUUGUAAACUUCUUUUGUCAAGGGACAAAAUCAGGCUCGAGAGCCUGACCGAGGGUACUUGAAGAAAAAGCAUCGGCUAACUCCGUGCCAGCAGCCGCGGUAAUACGGAGGAUGCGAGCGUUAUCCGGAUUUAUUGGGGUUAAAGGUUGCGUCGGCGGACUGUUAAGUCAGCGGUAAAAGCCCGGGGCUCAACCCCGACGAGCCGUUGAAACUGGCUGGCUUGAGAUGUCGAGAGGUAUGCGGAAUGCGAGGUGUAGCGGUGAAAUGCUUAGAGAUUGCGCAGAAUUCCGAUUGCGAAGGCAGCAUACCGGCGGCGAGCUGACGCUGAGGCACGAAAGCGUGGGUAUCGAACAGGAUUAGAUACCCUAGUAGUC
rnacentral:rRNA from 1 species